rnacentral:lncRNA from 1 species
UGAGGAAAACGUGAGUUUGUGAAGGGAACCGUGGGGGGGAAGUCUGGUUUCCGUCCUGCUGCUUUCCUUCAACUACAAGAUGGCUUCUCAAAAGGACGCAUGCAAUGCCAUUCCUCAAAGACAGUAUGUUGAUUUCACAGUGUUUUUAUAUGAACAACGUUCAAGUGUCAAAAGUAUCAAUUUCCAGGCUAGGAGCUACAAGUUAAAAGGAAAACAAAAAUGUUCCAAAGAUACAGUGUUUAUUAGCUACAUCUUGGGAAGUGCCUUUCCAGAGAGUAACAUGAAAACUUCUGCGUGACAAAGUGCACGAAGUAUCUGAAUUAUUUCAUUGGGCAAUUGUCGUGCAAAAGAAAUAGCAAAUUACCGUAGAAACAAAAUAGUAAGAGCACAGCUAGAUGGAUAAAGAUACAGAUGUGAAAAUAUAGAUGCCCUUUGCAUGAAAAUUCAGUUUUCCUCAGCACUAGAGACCCAGAUACUCCUGAAUUAGCAUUAUAAUAAAGUCGUCACUAGCUAACCAUCUGCCUUUCCUCCAAUCCACGGACGUGGUCCUCAAAAUAACAUUUUAUCUUGUGAGAAACCUUCAUUAAUUACACCUAACAACACCAUGACGCAGGUUCAUGAGGAUACUACUGAAGGCAAAAGGAAAUCCCUAUUUCUCUGACCCUUUCCCUAAUUUCCACUUAGCACAAAUAAGACUACUGGACAGUCUGAUUUUAAAAAAUCACUGUAUGGGCCGGGCUUGGUGGCUCCCGCCUGUAAUCCCAGCACUUUGGGAGGCCGAGGCGGGCAGAUCACUUGAGGUCAGGAGUUCAAGACCAGCCUGGCCAACAUGGUGAAACCCCGUCUCUACUAAAAAUACAAAAAUUACCUGGG